CCUACGGGAGGCAGCAGUGGGGAAUAUUGCACAAUGAACGAAAGUCUGAUGCAGCAACGCCGCGUGGAGGAUGACACAUUUCGGUGCGUAAACUCCUUUUAUAUAGGAAGAUAAUGACGGUACUAUAUGAAUAAGCACCGGCUAACUCCGUGCCAGCAGCCGCGGUAAU
rnacentral:rRNA from 1 species